AAGAGGGAACCCGGUGGGAAUCCGGGACUGCCCCGCAGCGGUGAGCGGGAACGACCGCCGUCAUACGCACUGGGCCCGACGUACCGGGCCCGGGAAGCGACGGCCAGUAGGUGUCCUCCGGACAGGAGGGUGGGCCCGCGAGUCCGAAGACCU
rnacentral:ncRNA from 2 species